rnacentral:lncRNA from 1 species
AUUUCAACCUUCUAUUUCUUCAUCUAUACAAUGGGAGGGAGGGGUAGAAAAGGCUACCCAGACUAGAUAAUCUCUCAUUUUCUUCUAUCUCUAAUGAAUUAAUUAUUCUACUUAAUGAGAACUUUCUCCCAACUCUAAACUCCACUUUUAUCUACCCCCUAAUUCUUUAAAAAAAAAAGUUUUAAAUUUCCAAAUUCAAAUACUUAGAGAUGAGGAGAUAAAAUUUCACAAAUUUGUUUCCAAUUUCAGAGCUAAAAGGAAUAAGGUAUGUCCUAACUAUCAUCUCUCGUUCUUCUCCCGUUUCUGAUGGUGAACCCUUCCUCUUGGGACAGUAUCUGAGGGCAUCCCUCUUCAACACACUUUUGCUGAGGGAGUUGACGUUUUUCCACAAUUGGCUCAGGACAAAAUUCAGUCAGGCAUUCGAGUAUAUGACUUAGUCAGUUGGAGGCAAGGCUGACAACGGAGGGCCACUCCACUGUCGCCAAGUCACAGAUGGCCAGCACUGAAGGAAAGGUCAGCUGUAUUAUGAGAGUUUUAUGGUGCUGACACAGGAAACGCCUGCUAUUUUGUUAAAGAAAUGACAACUUUAAAGCAAGUAAUACAUUCAUAAAUCUGCACUGAAGAUGUGUUAACCAACAAGAAGUAACCCAUUAUUCUCAGAGUUCUCAGGGCCUGAAGAAGGCACACAACCAACUGCCCCAGAGCCCCUGUCUGCACACAGAGGCUCUGUCUCCACCCCACAAACAAAGCCCAGAGAUGCCGCAUCAAAAUGGUACCCAGGUACAUCCAGCCCUGCCUCUGGCCUCAAGUCCCAGGAAGACAGUUCCAACCCUGCGCUCCCAGCCGGCACCCAGACUGUGUUAGCAUCUGCUCUCUUCCCAACACUGCGUGGGGCUGUGUGCGCCACAUCAGCAUGACUGCCUGCAUAUCCUUAGCUACGGUGGAGAUAAAUGUCAUCCUGGGCAGGAGAAGCCCCUGCAGGAGUCAGCGGGGGCCAUAAAGGAGCAGAUUCCUCCCCCACAAGCCACAUACCGCUUCCUUCAGCCCAAGCCUCUGCCUGCUGGCCCAGACUAUCUGUCCUGAGCAGAGGAAGACUGACGCUGAACAGCAGCACCAGAAAAAUGUCUGCCCAGGGAUUCCCACAUCUCACAGAGGAGAGUGAAAGGGCUUCAGGAACCCAGCCACUCUGCAGUUAG